ACAGGACACCAUUUGUUUUGUGAAAAACAAUAUAACAACACAAAUUAUGAGAUAUUUCCAUAUAAUACAUGGUAGAGGGAUGUGACAUUGUUUUAUAACAG